UACAGAGGGUGCAAGCGUUGUUCGGAAUUACUGGGCGUAAAGCGCGUGUAGGCGGUCUGAUAAGUCGGUCGUGAAAGCCCUUGGCUUAACCAAGGAACUGCGAUCGAAACUGUCGGACUAGAGUAUCGGAGGGGAUGGUGGAAUUCCCGGUGUAGAGGUGAAAUUCGUAGAUAUCGGGAGGAACACCUGUGGCGAAGGCGACCAUCUGGAAGAUUACUGACGCUGAGACGCGAAAGCGUGGGGAGCAAACAGG
rnacentral:rRNA from 1 species